UCUCCGUAGGUGAACCUGCGGAGGGAUCAUUACUGAGUGAGGGCUCACGCCCGACCUCCAACCCUUUGUGAACACAACUUGUUGCUUCGGGGGCGACCCUGCCGUUUCGACGGCGAGCGCCCCCGAAGGUCUCCCAACACUGCAUCAUUGCGUCGGAGUUAAAGUAAAUUAAACAAAACUUUCAACAACGGAUCUCUUGGUUCCAGCUUCGAUGAAGAACGCAGC
rnacentral:misc_RNA from 1 species